rnacentral:lncRNA from 1 species
AUGACCCAUACGUUCACAACCUCAACAACCAUGGGAUCACACUCCUCCACUCCACCCACGAUGCAAACAGCCAAGACGACCUACACAACCGCUCAUGCCACAACCACCAGGAAAAUCACCCUUAUGCCCACCAGUGACCUUCUCACACAAGCUCCCAAUACAGGCACCACUGCUCUUCCCCCGUUUACGUCAUCAGUCACUCCCACGAAUGUCGUCUCUUCACCAACAUCCACCACCUCUACCCCCAUGAUCAUCAACAUCCUGACACCACCCAUGAGUGUGCUUAUAUCAUCUCCACCUCCCCCAACCACAGAACCAGACUUCCCUUUGACCACCAGCAAUAUCCGUCCAUCCACCCUUGUUACUACACUGCCCACAACCCAUGCCACAUCCCCCCUGACAUCUCCCACUACCUCUGUCACCCUGGCCAUAACUGGAAGUAGCACUCCCACUGACACCUCACCCCCUGCCACCUUGGUCACUGGUAAUUCUGCCAGUGCCUCAACUACAGACUUAGACACUACUGCUACUGUACGCGUUCUAACAACAGCCACCUCGACAAUNCCCGCCACGGGACCACCCUCCUCCACCGCAGCCACCACGCACCCAGGCAGCCCGACCGACACCACCUCUCACGCCCCAUCCACCUGGAGAACCACACUGCCUCCUACCUCCGCCCUGCCUCCAGAGGCUCUCACGACAGCCCUCACUGCUCCUGCCCCCGUCACGUCCUCCCUCGCUCCCACCAACACCAAUGCCAUCUCCUCCCCACCGUCCCCCACCUCGCCUCCUCCGGUGACCUCCAGCACCUUCGCGCCACCCACCGCUCCGCUUGUGUCCUCUCCGCCUCUCCCAGCUAUGGGAUCCGUCUCCACCUUAACCACCUUCGUCGUCUCUUCCAACGAUAUGAGACUGCCUGCCCCCUCUCCUCUUGUUGACACACCUGGUAUCUCUUACAGAUACUUUUUGAAAACACCCGUGUCGUCAACAUCACUGAUAUCUUCUCGCAUGUCCCCCACAGAAUCUUACUCUAGUUUUAGUAUGCACAGAAAUACCAUAACCACAUCUCCUAGUACCGUUAUGCUUUCUUCAGCAUCUACAAUAUUUCCGCCUCCUACUGUAUCUUCUAGCAGAGUAACUGCAGUCCUCACCACCAGCCCUCUUCCUCCAUCUGCACAUUUCUCCCGUACAGAAAUUCCAAGGUCUUCUUUUCUCUCUGCUUUUUCGAAUCCGUCUGUGUCUGCUACUACAAGCUCUUCUACAUCCACGUCUCCUUUCACCCCUUUUCUUAGUGAAACUGCCAUUACUCCUACCAUUUUUACUUCUUCCACCACCACAUAUCCACAGCACAUAUCACUUACAACAGUGUCUGCUUCUUCCACUUCUCCACGUGUGGAGACUGAUCCGAGUAGUGAAGUUACCUUUACGCCCACCGUCUCAUUAUCAGUCCUUCCCUCUCCCACUGAGAAGUUCACCCUUCCUGAAUCCAGCAGUAUGAUUAUUGCCUUUCCUACACAUAUGGACACUUCUACGUCAGUUCUUGAGCCUGGCCCCACCAAUGUCAUAAGUGAUGCUUCUAGUUCUAUCAGCACUGGGACUGUCCCUGUCAACACAGUUUCAACAAGCAUACAAAGACCCCCUAGGGGGACUUCGAUGAGCACCAACUCUGUAACCACGCCACAUACGCCUGGCUUCACUAGCCUCCUACUGACCACCAAAGCAAGCAGCAGCUUUCGAAUUGCUGUGAUGCCUUCAAGCAAGUUGACCGGCCACGCCUCACUCACCACCCAGCCUCCAAGAACAUUGGCAACUACCCCUCAGACUCCUACCACCCUUACGUCGCCACAGACAACUUGGACUACUACUCAGAUGACCACCCCCCCAGGUUGGACCUCCUGUCUACCUGUUCCCUCUCUUCCCUCCCCUGCCCAAUUCCUGUGUCACCAAGGUCAGGCCCUGUCCUGA